rnacentral:rRNA from 1 species
GUGGGUAGCGGUGAAAUUCCAAUCGAGCCCGGAGAUAGCUGGUUCUCCCCGAAAUAGCUUUAGGGCUAGCCUCAAGGUGAGAGAUACGGAGGUAGAGCACUGAAUGUCCUAGGGGGUAUUGCACCUACCGAAGACUAUCAAACUCCGAAUGCCGUCAUCUUAUACUUGGGAGUCAGACUGUGGGUGAUAAGAUUCAUAGUCGAAAGGGCAACAGCCCAGAUCGUCAGCUAAGGUCCCUAAAUGUAAGUUAAGUGGUAAAGGAUGUGGGAUUGCACAGACAACCAGGAUGUUGGCUUAGAAGCAGCCACUCAUUCAAAGAGUGCGUAAUAGCUCACUGGUCGAGUGAUCCUGCGCCGAAGAUUUCCGGGGCUAAAACUUACUACCGAAGCUACGGCAUCAGUAAUGAUGGGUAGGGGAGCUUCCCAUACGGGUUGAAGCAUGACCGUAAGGACAUGUGGACAGUAUGGGAGUGAGAAUGUUGGCAUGAGUAGCGAGAUGUGGGUGAGAAUCCCACAGGCCGUAAACCCAAGGUUUCCAGGGGAAGGUUCGUCCGCCCUGGGUUAGUCGGGACCUAAGCUGAGGCCGAAAGGCGUAGGUGAUGGACAACAGGUUGAUAUUCCUGUACUACCGAUAACCGUUUGAGAGAAGGGAUGACACAGUAGGAUAAGCUAAGCACACUGUUGGUUAUGUGUGCCCAAGCAUUGAGGCAGUCAAAGUAGGCAAAUCCGCUUUGAUAAUGCUGGGAUGUGAUGGGGAGCGAAAUUUAGUAGCGAAGUAGCUGAUUUCACACUGUCAAGAAAAGUCUCUAUCGAGGUUAAAGGUACCCGUACCGCAAACCGACACAGGUGGGUGAGGAGAGUAUCCUAAGGCCAGCGAGAGAACUGUUGUUAAGGAACUCGGCAAAAUGACCCCGUAACUUAGGGAUAAGGGGUGCCACCAUCAGGUGGCCGCAGAGAAUAGGCCCAAGCGACUGUUUACCAAAAACAUAGGUUUCUGCUAAGUCGCAAGACGAUGUAUAGG